ensembl:misc_RNA Metazoa_SRP Metazoan signal recognition particle RNA
GCUGGGCAUGGUGGCGCAUGCCUGUAGUCCCAGCUACACGGGAGGCUGAGGCAGGAGAAUCGCUUGAACCCAGGAGGUGGAGGUUGCAGUGAGGUCAGAUCAUAUCACUGCACUCCAGCCUGGGCGACAGAGUGAGACUCUGUCUCAA